ensembl:lncRNA
UUCCCGCAGAAAUGGUGGUGCCUCCCACGCAGGAGCGAGAUCCCACGGUGUGCUCGCUCGGGUUUUCCAGCUCCCGCCGGGAGCCGCGGCCCGGGAGCCGCGAGGCUGAACUCUGGACACUUCGUUGUUUUUCCUCCUCGCCUCGUGACUUUUAUGGCCUGUCACGGAGGGAAGGCAGAGGAACGCGAGGCGAGAUCCCUGCCCGCUGCUCGCUUCCUGUCUCCUUCCCGCAGUCCCGGCCACCGCGGCAACUCCGAUGGCAACCCCAGCGCCCCAAACAACCUGCUGCGGGGGAUUCCGAGCUCCCACGGCUCUCUCCUGACCCGUCCUGCUUCCACCACCCAUGUUUGUCCUCGCGCUUGAUGCUUCGUGUAUUCCCAGAUGUUGGCCAAAACCCGGAUCAAACCUGCAGGAUGUGUCACUGAUGGAGUUUGAAGAAACAAGCGAGGGAGGCACCACUCCCCCAGGAGCCAGCAGCACCCCUGGGGAAGCUUGGGAUUCUACAGCAGUUGGAGGAGAGCACCAUGCCACUCACACACCAGCCGAAAUGAGCACCAGCCCGUCGAGCUCUGCACAGGGAGCAGAGCUCAGCACUCCUGAGGACUGCCUUUCUGCUCCAGGGAAAGCAGCAGAGAUGCUGGGCAGACCCUCUAACCCUAUGCAAGAAGUGCCAGCAGGACUGGAACAAGAGCAGGGGGAUGCAGAGCCUGAAAAGGGACUCUCAGAAUGGGAAGGAGAAAUGCCUUUAGAGGCGGGUGGACUAGAUUAUUCUCUGAAACAUAAGCAAUUAGAGGUAGCUGACCUGGAAAGUAACCAGGACUUUUCCUCUCACAGCACGGUUCAGGAUGAGCUGGCCCCUGGCAGCCCCAUCCUGCAGGCUGUGAACCUCAGCACUGAGUUUUCUCAAUGCCAGGAAGAACUGGCUUUUCCUGGCUCAGACCCUCAAGCCCAGCAACCAAAAUCUUCUUUGGCUGAUGCCAUUUCCUCUCAGAGAGAGACACCUAAGUGCUUUUUGGUGUGUAAAACUGUUUCAGAGGGACAUUAUAAGGCCAAACCGUUUCUGGAUAACAUCUCCAAGGAUUCUCUGCAGGAGGUUGAUGGUGCUGCAGAGCAGAAGCAAAGCAGCAAAAAGGUGGCACCAGCACCUGACGAACAGCCUACAUCAGAGGAAGCAGUAGGAGACACAGCUAAACCUUACACUUCUGAAGAUGUUAAGGAAAGCCUAAGAGCACCCCAGAGUUUGGAAGAGAAUACAGAGUCUUUCUCUUCCCAUCAGUUGUCUUCCACCUUAACAUGUGACAGCCAAGUAAGUUCACUACAAGCAGAAGGAAACAUAACUGGUGAAACAAGGAAUGCCAGCGUGGUCAAAGACCAGGGAACACUAAUGGUUCCUAAAGAAAACUCACCUACUUCCAAAUGCCUUCAUCUAGAAGAUGAUCAUGGAAAAACAGAGGGGAGACCUGCCCCUUCAGUAGAGAGAGCCUUCCAAGUAAAGAGUACUGCUAAAAGGAGUGAGGAAGUGAGUGCUUCACAGCAUAAGGAGCCAGCAGAGGAGGAGGCAGCGUCUGAACUUCAGCAGGAAGAGGAGAAGAAAGAGUGCAAAGAGCAGAAUCUGCCAGAAGAAGGAAAAUCUUUGGAGCCCAAAGAUCAGAAAAACAAGCAACAAAAUGGGCAGGAACAACUGCAGAGGGAAGGGCUCAGAGUGGAGGAAGAGCUCAAACUAGAGGCUCUAUCAUCAGCUUUUGGGUCAGAGAUAUCUUCUGUUCCCAGGUAUAAGGUGGAUAUGUGUGGUUUGGAGAAUGUUUCCUCAGCUGAGCAAAGGGGAUCAGCAUUUCCUCCUGGGGAACCUGUCUCUGUGGAUCCUGGUGAAGAUGUGCUGCUGAAAGCCCGUGUCACAGAAGCAGGUUCUGGAUGUCAGGCACCUGCUGUCGGCUCUCUGUCUUUGAAUAACCUGAACCCAGGGGGUGAAGCUCCGCACACAUGCCGUGUCUCUGACCAGUCGGAAGACCUGGAAGACUCUGGCCGCUUUUCCAUCGGUGCUCAGGAUCUUGGAGAAGCUCACUGGGAUGAUAAGAUAAGACUGGGCAGGGAGAACGAGCACAGUGAUGGGCAUGGAAAAGCUGUCCAGAGGUUUGAGAAAAGAGAGGCACCUCUCCAUGGAGGAGUGGCAGCACCUUCUGGUGCAGAGAACUCAGAGGCUUCUGUUCCAGCACACCCUUCCUCUGGUACUAAUGACUUGGAGCCACCUGAUCCCAGAGAUUCUCAUCCCGCUACAGGAAAAGCUGAGCUUCCGGACUUCAUUCCAGCUUUGCCCUCAGAGCUCACCUCAGUGGCUUUAGCGUCUGGCCUACAGAAGGAGGGUGCCAGAGCAGCCUCUGUGACCCCCCAGGACUGUCCUGGCACCAGCCAAAACGAGCUGCCAGACUCUGCAGGGAAGCCACCCAACCAAGGUGCUCCCACACAAGUGUGGGACCCAACACCAGGGCAAACUGCUGCUCUGAGUACAGAUCCAGGGGAGGCCAAGGCUUUCCAUGAAAUCCUUACUUCCAAGGAAGGCUUUCAUGAAGACCUUAGUGGCCCAUCUUCUUUCUCUGUAAUAUACACGAGCUCUCUUCCUUUAGAAGAGAGCCUUCCUGGGGAUAGGAGGUCUGUGGUUAGCAUUGCAGGGCCUCUGGAACCAUCCCAAACACCAGGAAGGACUUCCACUCCCCUGAACCACCCAGAGACAAUUCAGCAGAACUCCCCCGAAAAAAGUGCCAUUAUGGAGGGAAAAGAAACAGGAGCAAAUGUGGGUCAUAAAGCACAACAAAUGCCUUUGUUUGAUCAGCCUGACUGCAGUUUAGACCAAAAAGAGCUUGGAUCCAGAAUUUCCAGUGUCCUGAGCACCCUAACUUGGCCCUCUGAAGAAGAUACGGUCCUUGCUGUGAACCAGGAAGAACAACCUCUGUCCCCUGUGUCCCACUCAAGCCUACCUCUGGUAUCUGAGCCUGAUGCCAAACAGCUUCCUCAGCCUCCUUCCCAUGUCCAAAGGCCCACUCAAGCUCAGGCCCCUGCACUUAAUGCAAAUCACCUUGUCCCACCUUCAGCCCCCGAAUGUUCCCAGCCACUGGCUCCUGGACCAUAUUCCAGGCCACACCUCAACUGUGCUAUGGACCAUAAUAGGUUAGGAGCCAUUCACCCUGCCAUAAGCCAUCCUCUCCAGACUGCUGCCUCUGGGUCCCAUUCCAACUCUGUGGCCUCUGCUUCUGAUGGAGAAAGUCUAGCAGAGAAGGAUGGCCUUGUACCAGUAACUGGGGAGUGGGAUCUCGGUGACUCAGGUACCCACGACACAGAGACUUCCGAUGACUCAGGGGUCAGUUUGUUGGCCAAAAGCUUUUCUGCUGUUGGAAGUGAAAUGCUGGUUGGCUGCUCUGACACCAGCCCUGAAACAGCAGACCAGCACAUGGAUAUAGAAAGUGGAAAAUCCUCACCUGACCACCCUAAUUGGCCCUCGUUGGAAGGCUUGUUAGCAUCCACAGACUCCAAGAGCAGAGACUCUGCACAGCUCCUUCCAAUGCUUGCAUUCACCAACCCAAUCCACUUUCUCCAGCUUAGCCCUCCAUCACCACCAACCACCAGAACGACCUGCCAGGAAGAGGAGCUGCCAUGGGAGCAACCCUCAGGCAUCUUCGGUGUGGACACAAAGCACGCCCAGGCUCCACGGGCAGUCACAGAGAAAACAGAACGUGAGAGGAGGGUCAAGCAAAGGCUGGAAGGAGGGGAACAUCAGCCAAAGGAAGAAGUGGCCAAACAUGCACCCUUGGAAAAAUCAUCAAGUUGGCCAGACAAGAAGAAGAUGGGGGUGGUUGCACAGGAGCCAGCAGCCAACCAAGAGAACCCGAUUAGACGCCGAGUGAAAAGCAAGGACUGGCACCGCCAGGGCCUGAAGAGGAUGUCAGUACCACCAGACAUCUUGCAGGGUGAGUCCUCUCUUCCCUUUCCCUUCCCUGCCACUGCCCCAACUCAUUGCAGUUCCCAAAAACAUAGGAUUAAAUUAAAC